rnacentral:rRNA from 1 species
GAUGAACGCUGGCGGCGUGCCUAAUACAUGCAAGUCGAGCGAACAGACGAGGAGCUUGCUCCUCUGACGUUAGCGGCGGACGGGUGAGUAACACGUGGAUAACCUACCUAUAAGACUGGGAUAACUUCGGGAAACCGGAGCUAAUACCGGAUAAUAUAUUGAACCGCAUGGUUCAAUAGUGAAAGACGGUUUUGCUGUCACUUAUAGAUGGAUCCGCGCCGCAUUAGCUAGUUGGUAAGGUAACGGCUUACCAAGGCAACGAUGCGUAGCCGACCUGAGAGGGUGAUCGGCCACACUGGAACUGAGACACGGUCCAGACUCCUACGGGAGGCAGCAGUAGGGAAUCUUCCGCAAUGGGCGAAAGCCUGACGGAGCAACGCCGCGUGAGUGAUGAAGGUCUUCGGAUCGUAAAACUCUGUUAUUAGGGAAGAACAAAUGUGUAAGUAAAUAUGCACGUCUUGACGGUACCUAAACAGAAAGCCACGGCUAACUACGUG